rnacentral:rRNA from 1 species
GACGAACGCUGGCGGCGUGCGUAAUACAUGCAAGUCGAACGCUUCUUUUUCCACCGGAGCUUGCUCCACCGGAAAAGGAGGAGUGGCGAACGGGUGAGUAACACGUGGGUAACCUGCCCAUCAGAAGGGGAUAACACUUGGAAACAGGUGCUAAUACCGUAUAACAAUCGAAACCGCAUGGUUUUGAUUUGAAAGGCGCUUUCGGGUGUCGCUGAUGGAUGGACCCGCGGUGCAUUAGCUAGUUGGUGAGGUAACGGCUCACCAAGGCCACGAUGCAUAGCCGACCUGAGAGGGUGAUCGGCCACAUUGGGACUGAGACACGGCCCAAACUCCUACGGGAGGCAGCAGUAGGGAAUCUUCGGCAAUGGACGAAAGUCUGACCGAGCAACGCCGCGUGAGUGAAGAAGGUUUUCGGAUCGUAAAACUCUGUUGUUAGAGAAGAACAAGGAUGUGAGUAACUGUUCAUCCCUUGACGGUAUCUAACCAGAAAGCCACGGCUAACUACGUGCCAGCAGCCGCGGUAAUACGUAGGUGGCAAGCGUUGUCCGGAUUUAUUGGGCGUAAAGCGAGCGCAGGCGGUUUCUUAAGUCUGAUGUGAAAGCCCCCGGCUCAACCGGGGAGGGUCAUUGGAAACUGGGAGACUUGAGUGCAGAAGAGGAGAGUGGAAUUCCAUGUGUAGCGGUGAAAUGCGUAGAUAUAUGGAGGAACACCAGUGGCGAAG